UUUUGACCUCGGAUCAGGUAGGGAUACCCGCUGAACUUAAGCAUAUCAAUAAGCGGAGGAAAAGAAACCAACAGGGAUUGCCCUAGUAACGGCGAGUGAAGCGGCAACAGCUCAAAUUUGAAAUCUGGCUCUUUUAGAGUCCGAGUUGUAAUUUGCAGAGGGCGCUUUGGCUUUGGCAGCGGUCCAAGUUCCUUGGAACAGGACGUCACAGAGGGUGGAGAAUCCCGUACGUGGUCGCUGKCUAUUGCCGUGUAAAGCCCCUUCGACGAGUCGAGUUGUUUGGGAAUGCAGCUCUAAAUGGGAGGUACAUUUCUUCUAAAGCUAAAUAUUGGCCAGAGACCGAUAGCGCACAAGUAGAG
rnacentral:rRNA from 1 species